UACGUAGGGUGCAAGCGUUGUCCGGAAUUAUUGGGCGUAAAGAGCUCGUAGGCGGUUUGUCGCGUCGGCUGUGAAAACUUGGGGCUCAACCCCAAGCCUGCGGUCGAUACGGGCAGGCUAGAGUUCGGUAGGGGAGACUGGAAUUCCUGGUGUAGCGGUGAAAUGCGCAGAUAUCAGGAGGAACACCGGUGGCGAAGGCGGGUCUCUGGGCCGAUACUGACGCUGAGGAGCGAAAGCGUGGGGAGCGAACAGG
rnacentral:rRNA from 1 species